rnacentral:rRNA from 1 species
AUUGAACGCUGGCGGCGUGCUUAACACAUGCAAGUCGAUCGGUAAGGCCCUUUCGGGGGUACGACGAGCGGCGAACGGGUGAGUAACACGUGGGUGACCUGCCCUCAGCUCUGGGAUAAGCCUGGGAAACCGGGUCUAAUACUGGAUAUGACUCCAUGACGCAUGUUGUGGGGUGGAAAGCCUUGUGCGGCUGAGGAUGGGCCCGCGGCCUAUCAGCUUGUUGGUGGGGUGAUGGCCUACCAAGGCGACGACGGGUAGCCGGCCUGAGAGGGCGACCGGCCACACUGGGACUGAGACACGGCCCAGACUCCUACGGGAGGCAGCAGUGGGGAAUCUUGCGCAAUGGGCGAAAGCCUGACGCAGCGACGCCGCGUGGGGA